rnacentral:misc_RNA from 1 species
GUAGGUGAACCUGCGGAAGGAUCAUUAAUAACGCCCCGUUUUUGUCGCAAGAUUUAAAUGGGUUCAAUACCCAAAACCGUGUCUACCUACCUUUGUUGCUUUGGCAGGCCGCCUUCGGGCGUCGGCUUCGGCUGAUUAGCGCUUGCCAGAGGCCCAAAACUCUGUGUUUAGUGAUGUCUGAGUACUAUAAAAUAUUUAAAACUUU